UGAAUCUGCCGGCACCAUCCGGUAAGGCUAAAUACUCCUGAGAGACCGAUAGUGAACCAGUACUGUGAAGGAAAGGUGAAAAGUACCGUGAACAACGGGGUGAAAUAGAACCUGAAACCAUACGCUUACAAGCGGUCGGAGCCACGUGAUGUGGUGACGGCGUGCCUUUUGCAUAAUGAGCCUACGAGUUACUGUUACUGGCAAGGUUAAGCAAUUAAAGUUGCGCAGCCGAAGCGAAAGCGAGUCUGAAUAGGGCGCAUAAGUCAGUAGGAGUAGACGCGAAACCUUGUGAUCUACCCUUGGCCAGGAUGAAGCCUCGUUAACACGGGGUGGAGGUCCGAACUAGUAAACGUUGAAAAGUUUUUGGAUGAGCUGAGGGUAGGGGUGAAAGGCUAAUCAAACUGGGAAAUAGCUCGUACUCCCCGAAAUGUUUUUAGGAACAGUGUGGAGGUUUGAGUUUAAUACAGGUAGAGCUACCAAUUGGACUAGGGGGAGUCACAUCCUACCAAAUCCAGAUGAACUCCGAAUGGUAUUAAAUAUACUCUGCAAUGAGGGCGCGGGUGCUAAGGUCCGUGUCCGAGAGGGAAAGAACCCAGACCUGCAGCUAAGGUCCCAAAAUCUAUACUAAGUUGAACUAAGGCGGUUCAGUUGCUGAGACAGCCAGGAGGUUAGCUUGGAAGCAGCUAUUCCUUUAAAGAGUGCGUAACAGCUCACUGGUCGAGCGACAGAGCAUCGAUAAUAAUCGGGCAUAAAGUAUAGUACCGAAGCUUAGGAUUGACAGCAAUGUCAGUGGUAGGGGAGCAUUCUAACAGCGGAGAAGCAGUCUGGUAAUGGAUUGUGGAGCCGUUAGAAAAGCACAUGUAGGCAUAAGUAACGAUAAGGCGGGAGAGAACCCCGCCCACCGAUAGACUAAGGGUUCCGCGGCAAUGUUAAUCAACCGCGGGUAAGUCGGGACCUAAGGCGAAUCCGAAAGGAAUAGUCGAUGGACAACUGGUUAAUAUUCCAGUACUACCGUAAUGAGCGAAGUGGAGAAGGAGGAGUGAAAGUUCUGCCCCGAGACGAAACACGGGGUUAAAGGGUGUAGGUAUAGAGUUUACAGGCAAAUCCGUAGACUUUGCUGAAACCUGAUAGUACUCGGAGGCUUCGGCCGAAGAGAUAUGAACCUAAACAGACUUCCGAGAAAAACUGCUAAGCAUAUUGUUAUGGUACCCGUACCGCAAACCGACACAGGUAGUCAAGGAGAGAAUCCUAAGGUGCUCGAGUGAAUCAUGGCUAAGGAACUCGGCAAAUUAAUCCUGUAACUUCGGGAAAAGGGAUGCCUACUUUCUAGCAAUAGAGAGAGGUCGCAGAGAAAUGGCCCAGGCGACUGUUUAACAAAAACACAUGGCUAUGCGAAAUCGAAAGAUUAUGUAUAUGGCCUGACACCUGCCCGGUGCUGGAAGGUUAAGGGGGGGAGUUAGCCGCAAGGCGACGCUCUGAACUGAAGCCCCAGUAAACGGCGGCCGUAACUAUAACGGUCCUAAGGUAGCGAAAUUCCUUGUCGGGUAAGUUCCGACCUGCACGAAUGGUGUAACGAUCUGGGCGCUGUCUCAGCCAUGAGCUCGGUGAAAUUGUAGUCACGGUGAAGAUGCCGUGUACCCGUCACGGGACGGAAAGACCCCAUGAACCUUUACUAUAGCUUCACAUUGGUAUUGGGAGAAUGAUGUGUAGGAUAGGUGGGAGGCGUUGAUCCUGGGCCGCUAGGUUUAGGGGAGCCAACGGUGAAAUACCACCCUUUAUUUUCUUGAUGCCUAACCCCGCAGAAGCGGGGGACAUUGUGUGGUGGGUAGUUUGACUGGGGUGGUCGCCUCCGAAAGUGUAUCGGAGGCUUUCAAAGGUACCCUCAGCACGGUUGGUAAUCGUGCGUGGAGUGCAAUAGCAUAAGGGUGCUUGACUGUGAGACCGACGGGUCGAGCAGGGACGAAAGUUGGAUAUAGUGAUCCGGUGGUUCUGCAUGGAAGGGCCAUCGCUCAAAGGAUAAAAGGUACU
rnacentral:rRNA from 1 species